UACAUCUCUACUGAGAAGAAGAGCUGGAGUGAGAGCAGAAAGUUCUGCAGAGAGAGAGGAGCAGACCUGGUGAUCAUAAACAGCAGAAAGGAACAGGAGUUCAUCAGUGAAGCAUUUGGCAGCUCUGAAGCUUGGAUUGGUCUGACGGAUGUUGACACAGAGGGGGUCUGGAAAUGGGUGGACAAAUCAACACUGACCGCUAAGUUCUGGUGGACAGGGGAACCCAAUGAUUAUG